GAUGAAGAACGUAGCGAAAUGCGAUAAGUAGUGUGAAUUGCAGAAUUCAGUGAAUCAUCGAAUCUUUGAACGCACAUUGCGCCCUUUGGUAUUCCAAAGGGCAUGCCUGUUCGAGCGUCAUUUGUACCCUCAAGCUUUGCUUGGUGUUGGGCGUCUUGUCUCUAGCUUUGCUGGAGACUCGCCUUAAAGUAAUUGGCAGCCGGCCUACUGGUUUCGGAGCGCAGCACAAGUCGCACUCUCUAUCAGCAAAGGUCUAGCAUCCAUUAAGCCUUUUUUUCAACUUUUGACCUCGGAUCAGGUAGGGAUACCCGCUGAACUUAAGCAUAUCAAUGCGGAGGA
rnacentral:misc_RNA from 1 species